AACAGACUUCACAAUAGGAGCCAAGAAAGCAAGAGUUAGUGGGAUGAAAGGAGGAACUCAGAACAAAGCUCACAAUGAGCACACAGGUAAGGACUGCUUUAUGCAGGAUGAGCCACAUCCUACAACAAUGCUUAAGAGAAUAACAACCAACCUGUUAGAGCACCUCUCCAUUUAUAAAGGAUUUAACACAUUACAUUUUGCGUCCACCAACAACCAUACAACGUGACGCUCCUUCAGAUCAGCCACCCAGGCUCAGGGAGUCAUGAUGAAAGAUCCAGCUAAGGUAGUGAUUAGCAUGAGAUAAAACUUAACUGGCUGGACAUUCCUUGCUCUGCCACCACUGAAGCUGAGAAAUCCUGGACCUCUGACAAGAGCUGGGAGAAAGUAAGAGUUCUUGCCACAUCAGUAUCCUACAUCAGUCCCUGAAGGAGAGUGGAACCUACACUGAAAUGUCUCUUAUUAAAUACCUGAUUGUUUGCUUACACAAGAUAGGCCUAACUUUGGAAAUCCACCUGCAUCACCACCUCCUGAAGUGAAUUUAACUGGACUGACCUAUUGUCAGGACUAAGAGACUUGAUCAAUGACAUGGAACAACCUGCCAACUCAGCCUCUAGAAUGGGAAACUUCUUAAAGUUUCGACAGUGGAAAUGUAGGGGAACAUAAUU
rnacentral:lncRNA from 1 species